rnacentral:lncRNA from 10 species
UUCUGGCUGCUUUCCAGUGGCUGUGUGACCUUCGUCAUUUGCUGCACUCCCUGGAAGAGAUCACCGUGGCUGCCCUGCUUGGCUUGGCUGUGAUUGGUGUGGCCUCAGGAUAUAAGCAGUAGUGAUGUAUGCAACACGGGAGCAGGAGUCUUGGAGCCAACCCUGUCACUCCCCUCUGCCAUGCGACAGGAGCAGCACAGCCCAGAUGAGAGCUGCAUCCUCAGCCUGGAUCUCAGAAUAAAAAGCCCAUGGAGCAGAGCCACAGUUGGCCCACAGGGACCUACAGAGUGAGCCAAACACACUCGCAGUGUUGUAAGUCUCUGAGAUACUGGUGUUGCAGCACAACUGAACAAAAUCUCAUGGGAGAAGUCUCUUCUUUAUCAUCAUCCCAACUGAACUCUCUUCAGUUUUGACCUAGGCAUCCACCUGCCUAAUUUUUAAACCCUUUUAGGCAUCAUUCAAACUAACGUGCAUUUGCCAUAGACUCUGUAUAUGACCCAGUCCAGAACUUGGGGUUGAAAAGCACAAGGAAUAUAAUAAUAGCUAGUGAUCCUGAGAGCCUGCUCUGGGCCAGCUGCUGCAACAGGCACUUGUGCAGAUAGAGUGUCAGUUGUCCUCGUGUUACCCGAAGGAGGCAGGCAUUACAACUCUCCCCAAUUCAUUGAUGAGGAAAUUGAUGUGCCAAGGUGUUUAAUAACAAGACUAAGGUAAUACUUGAUCUAGCAAGAGGCAUUUGGAGGAACUGUACCCAAGCACGCUGACUCCUGUAUCCUAUAAGUCACACCGUUUUCAUCCAGUGAGCUUGCAGACGUGCAGUGAGAAAAUGUUCUUCCAUCAUGCCACCACUGUUUGGGGGGCAUAGAGCACAUGCCAGCCUCUGUGCCAGGACUGGGCGAAAGUAAGCCAGACAGACACAAAUCCUACAAUUCUUACCCUGAGGGAGACGAAAAGAGAGGAAGAAAAUAUUUUCCUCCACUGGUUUUUGUUUUUUAUAGUUUCAGGGGGCACAUGUACAGGUUACAUGGAUAUAUUGUGUAAUGGUGAGGUUGGGCUUCUGGUGAACCCAUCACCCGAAUAGUAAACAUUGCAUCUAAUAGGUAAUUUUUCAACCCUCACCCUCCUCCCACCCUUCUGGAUUUUGGAGUCACCAGUGUCUAUUAUUUCCCUCUUUAUGUCCAUGAGUAACCAUUGUUUAGCUCCCACUUAUAAGUGAGAACACACGGUAUUUGAUUUUCUGUUUCUGAGUCAUUUCACUUAGGAUAAUGGCCUCCAGCUCCAUCCAUGUUGCUGCAGAAGAUGUGAUUUCAUUCUUUUUUAUGGCUGUGGGGGGAAAACAUUUUUAACUAAUUACAUCUUAUUUAUAAGAAAUAUCUAGAAUAGGCAAAUCAUAGAGACAGAAAGAUGAGUGUUUCCCGGGGUAUGGAGGAUGGGGAGUGACCGUUUAAAGUGUAUGGGGUUUCCUUUUGAGAUGAUGAAAAUUUCUGGAACUAGAUAGCAGUGAUGGUUGAGCAACACUGUGAAUGUACCGAACGUCACAAAUAGCAAAUUUUAUGCACGUUUCAGCACAAUGAAAAUAAAAC